rnacentral:rRNA from 1 species
CUACGGGAGGCAGCAGUGGGGAAUCUUGGACAAUGGGCGCAAGCCUGAUCCAGCCAUGCCGCGUGUGUGAUGAAGGCCUUAGGGUCGUAAAGCACUUUCGCCAGAGAUGAUAAUGACAGUAUCUGGUAAAGAAACCCCGGCUAACUCCGUGCCAGCAGCCGCGGUAAUACGGAGGGGGUUAGCGUUGUUCGGAAUUACUGGGCGUAAAGCGCACGUAGGCGGAUUAGUCAGUCAGAGGUGAAAUCCCAGGGCUCAACCCUGGAACUGCCUUUGAUACUGCUAGUCUUGAGUUCGAGAGAGGUGAGUGGAAUUCCGAGUGUAGAGGUGAAAUUCGUAGAUAUUCGGAGGAACACCAGUGGCGAAGGCGGCUCACUGGCUCGAUACUGACGCUGAGGUGCGAAAGUGUGGGGAGCAAWCAGGAUUAKAUACCCUGGUAKUCCACACCGUAAACGAUGAAUGCCA